CCUACGGGUGGCAGCAGUGGGGAAUAUUGGACAAUGGGGGGAACCCUGAUCCAGCCAUGCCGCGUGUGUGAAGAAGGCCCUCGGGUUGUAAAGCACUUUCAGUGAGGAAGAACGCCUGGUGGUUAAUACCCAUCAGGAAAGACAUCACUCACAGAAGAAGCACCGGCUAACUCCGUGCCAGCAGCCGCGGUAAUACGGAGGGUGCGAGCGUUAAUCGGAAUUACUGGGUGUAAAGCGCGCGUAGGUGGCUUGAUAAGCCGGUUGUGAAAGCCCCGGGCUCAACCUGGGAACGGCAUCCGGAACUGUCAAGCUAGAGUGCAGGAGAGGAAGGUAGAAUUCCCGGUGUAGCGGUGAAAUGCGUAGAGAUCGGGAGGAAUACCAGUGGCGAAGGCGGCCUUCUGGACUGACACUGACACUGAGGUGCGAAAGCGUGGGUAGUAAACAGGAUUAGAUACCCGAGUAGUC
rnacentral:rRNA from 1 species